rnacentral:rRNA from 1 species
UACGUAGGUGGCAAGCGUUGUCUGGAUUUAUUGGGUUUAAAGGGUGCGUAGGCGGGCAGGUAAGUCAGUGGUGAAAUCCUUGAGCUUAACUCGAGAACUGCCAUUGAUACUAUCUGUCUUGAAUAUUGUGGAGGUAAGCGGAAUAUGUCAUGUAGCGGUGAAAUGCUUAGAUAUGACAUAGAACACCUAUUGCGAAGGCAGCUUACUACGCAUAUAUUGACGCUGAGGCACGAAAGCGUGGGGAUCAAACAGG